rnacentral:rRNA from 1 species
AUUGAACGCUGGCGGCAGGCCUAACACAUGCAAGUCGAACGGUAGCACAGAGAGCUUGCUCUCGGGUGACGAGUGGCGGACGGGUGAGUAAUGUCUGGGAAACUGCCUGAUGGAGGGGGAUAACUACUGGAAACGGUAGCUAAUACCGCAUAAUGUCGCAAGACCAAAGAGGGGGACCUUCGGGCCUCUUGCCAUCGGAUGUGCCCAGAUGGGAUUAGCUUGUUGGUGAGGUAAAAGCUCACCAAGGCGACGAUCCCUAGCUGGUCUGAGAGGAUGACCAGCCACACUGGAACUGAGACACGGGCCAGACACCUACGGGAGGCAGCAGUGGGGAAUAUUGCACAAUGGGCGCAAGCCUGAUGCAGCCAUGCCGCGUGUGUGAAGAAGGCCUUCGGGUUGUAAAGCACUUUCAGCGGGGAGGAAGGCGGUGAGUUUAAUAAGCUCACCGAUUGACGUUACCCGCAGAAGAAGCACCGGCUAACUCCGUGCCAGCCGCCGCUGUAA